rnacentral:tRNA from 1 species
GGGCGGGUGGUGGAAUUGGCAGACACGUACGUUUGAGGGGCGUAUGGCGAAAGCCGUGCAGGUUCAAGUCCUGUCCCGCCCACCA